GCCUCAAAAGUAUGCUGCAUGAUCUUUAACUGGUUAUACCAGCUAUUUUUGUGCUGAAGUGAACAUCGACAAACAUCAGUAGUACCUAUAGUGUAUAAAAUUAGAAUUCCUAUGUCACAUGCAGGCUGUAUAUUAUUGCUGCUGUGAGGGCUAUAUCCUUGGUAGGCAUCCUCUAUUUCGAUACCUAUACCUUAACUUGAUCUCUGCUUAUACUUUACCAUGAUUGUGUUACACACACACACACACA
rnacentral:lncRNA from 1 species